AUACGGGGGGUGCGAGCGUUAUUCGGAAUUACUGGGCGUAAAGAGCGCGUAGGCGGUCUUUUAAGUCAGGUGUGAAAGCCCGGGGCUCAACCCCGGAAGUGCACUUGAAACUAAGAGACUUGAGUAUGGGAGAGGGAAGUGGAAUUCCUGGUGUAGCGGUGAAAUGCGUAGAUAUCAGGAGGAACAUCAGUGGCGAAGGCGACUUCCUGGACCAAUACUGACGCUGAGGCGCGAAGGCGUGGGGAGCAAACAGGAUUAGAAACCCUGGUAGUCC
rnacentral:rRNA from 1 species